AACGAACGCUGGCGGCAUGCCUAACACAUGCAAGUCGAACGAGACCUUCGGGUCUUGUGGCGCACGGGUGCGUAACGCGUGGGAACCUGCCUUUAGGUUCGGAAUAACUCAGAGAAAUUUGAGCUAAUACCGGAUGAUGUCUUCGGACCAAAGAUUUAUCGCCCUUAGAUGGGCCCGCGUUGGAUUCGCUAGUUGGUGGGGUAAAGGCCUACCAAGGCGACGAUCCAUAGCUGGUCUGAGAGGAUGAUCAGCCACACUGGGACUGAGACACGGCCCAGACUCCUACGGGAGGCAGCAGUGGGGAAUAUUGGACAAUGGGCGAAAGCCUGAUCCAGCAAUGCCGCGUGAGUGAUGAAGGCCUUAGGGUUGUAAAGCUCUUUUAACCGAGAUGAUAAUGACAGUAUCGGGAGAAUAAGCUCCGGCUAACUCCGUG
rnacentral:rRNA from 1 species